GCUGGGUAGGGCCCCAGGGGGAGGCAGGUUUCUGCAGCUCCCUUUUCCCAGUGGAAAAGCUCAGGAUUCCCAAAGGCUGUUGGGCGAGAGUCUCAAAUUGUCUUCAGACUGGGUCUAAUCUAGCUAGAACCACUUGGGAGCCAGGAUGUAUCCAGUGACAGGCGUCGCUGAGAAGUGAAGAGAGGUCUGGUGACAACUGGGAUCUCCAGUUGACCCAGUCUCAAGGGGCGGUGAGACUAGGUACCUGAUCCUUCUCGUCCAUUGAUUUGCUGUUACUCAGCUCCAAAUGCAGAAGUUCAGAGGACAAGCUGCUCCCAGGAGGUCACAAACAGCCUCAACAGUUCAAGAAGGCUGUCUCGACAGACACAAGGAGAAGGCUCAGUACGUGGGAGACAGGCCGUCUGGGCAGGGACCAAAGAGCUGCACAUUCUCAGGGCAAGUCCCUUCUUCAAGGCCAGAGGUCCCCUGUUGACGUCACACCCAUGGAGGGAGAAGAAACACCAAGAAAGGGUGAGGCGGUGACGUCGCCCUGUGUUCUCGCAGGGCUGAGGAGGUCUGUGCUCUACAUUCUUCCGUGUUGGCUCAAGCCAGAGCCCCUGUGAUGCAAACCAGGACGAGGUCCGAGGGCCCUCCCUCAAGGCGCACACCGUGUGAGAAAGGGACCCGCAGCUCAGGAACCAAAACAGACACACCCAGCCCAGUGACCUCCCCACCAGCCAGUGACCAACAGCAGCCAGUCAACAGCUCUCAUCAAGAGGUUCCUCUGUACAUGACACCAUGGGGGAUCCAAUUUCCUGCAGACCAUGGCUUGGGGUUUACGUAAGUCUAAUUAGGGAAGUGAGAGGCACAUAUAUGAGAAAAAGAGUGGAUAGACUAUGGCCAAGGUAGGCUUGGGAGGAAGUGGAUAUUCAGCAUGGCAGUGCUGG